AGAGUCAACUCCAACUUCAGGUUCUCCAAGACCGUGGCCCCAGCUCUCCAAAGGUGCCAGACCUACAUGGACAUCGUCAUCGUCCUGGAUGGCUCCAACAGCAUCUACCCCUGGGUGGAGGUUCAGCACUUCCUCAUCAACAUCCUGAAGAAGUUUUACAUUGGCCCAGGGCAGAUCCAGGUUGGAGUUGUGCAGUAUGGAGAAGAUGUGGUGCAUGAGUUUCACCUCAAUGACUACAGGUCUGUAAAAGAUGUGGUAGAAGCUGCCAGCCACAUUGAGCAGAGAGGAGGAACAGAGACCCGGACAGCAUUUGGCAUUGAAUUUGCACGGUAAAAAAAAAGUAGAACAAAAAAAAUUUUUUAGAUCUCAGAUGCUAUUGUAGUUGUCUAUUGUCUUGUAA
rnacentral:sRNA from 1 species